AAUCUUCACACAACCCAUGUAAUACAUAAGGGAAAGAGAUACAUAGUUGGCUUACAAUCGCCACUUCACCCAAUUACAUGAAUAAAGCAUUACAUCAAACAAUACAAUCAAGGUCCGACUACGGAACCAAAAUAAAAGAAGACUACCCCAAAUGCUACACAGAUCCCCGAUCGACCCCAACUGGGCUCCUCUACUGAUCAACUGGAAACAGAACAACAUAAAGGACAAGAUCAUCAUCGAGCUCCUCCUUGAGCUUGGUUGCGUCAUCUGCACGGUUCAACGGCACCUGCAAACUGGUUUUGGAAGUAUCUGUGAGUCAUGGGGACUCAGCACUCUCACACCCUCGCGAUCAAGACUAUUUAAGCUUAUGGGUAAGGUAAAAUGUAUGAGGUGAAGCUGCAACAAGCGACUAGCAUAUAUGGUGGCUACACAUACGCAAAUAAGAGCGAGAAGAGAAGGAAAAGCACCAUCGAGAAACUAUGAUCAAGAAGUGAUCCUAGAACAACCUACGCCAAACAUUACUCCAACACCGUGUUCACUUCCCGGACUCUGCCGGAAAGAGACCAUCAUGGUUACACACGCGGUUGAUGCAUUUUUAAAUAAGGUCAAAUUCAGGUUUUCUACAACCGGACGUUAACAAAUUCCCAUCUGCCCAUAACCGUGGGCACGGCUUUCGAAAGUUCAAAUCCCUGCAGGGGUGUCCCAACUUAGCCCAUCACAAGCUCUCACGGUCAACGAAGGAAUAGACCUCCUCCCGAGACAUUCCGAUCAGACUCGGUAUCCCGGUUCUACAAGACAUCCUCGACAAUGGUAAAACAAGUCCAGCAACACCGCCCGAAUGUGCCGACAAAUCCCGAUAGGAGCUGCACAUAUCUCGUUCUCAGGGCACACUCAGAUGAGCAGUCCGUACAACUAAAACCAGCCCUCGAGUUCCCCGAGGUGGCGCUGCAAGGGGCUCUAGUUUGGACCAACACUUAGAGGAGCACUGGCCCGGGGGGUUAAAAUAAUGAUGACCCUCAGGAGCGCGACUCCCAAGGGAAAAAGAGGCUAGGUGGCAAAUGGUAAAACCAAUGUUGGGCAUUACUGGAGGAGUUUUAUUCAAAGCAAACUGUCAAGGGGUUCCCAUUAUAACCCAAUCGCGUGAGGAACGCAAAAUCCGGGAACAUAACACUAAUAUGACAGAAACUAGGGCGGCAAGAGUGGAACAAAACACCAGGCAUAAGGCCGAGCCUUCCACCCUUUACCAAGUAUAUAGAUGCAUUAAUUUAAUAAGAUAUAUUGUGAUAUCCCAACAUAUAAGCAUGUUCCAACAAGGAACAACAUCUCCAUGUUCCAACAAGGAACAAACUUCAAUCUUCACCUGCAACUAACAAUGCUAUAAGAGGGGCUGAGCGAAGCGGUGACAUAGCCAAUCAACGAUUUGCUAGGACAAGGUGGGUUAGAGGCUUGGUUCAACAAUAUGGGUGGCAUGAUAAGCAAGUGGUAGGUAUCGCAGCAUAGGCAUAGCAAAAGAGCGAGCAACUAAGCAAGCAAAGAUAGAAGUGAUUUCGAGGGUAUGAUCAUCUUGCCUGAGAUCCCGCAAGGAAGACGAACGAGUCCAUGAAGAAGACAAACGGAUGUAGUCGAAUGAAUCCUCACAACACGACGUUAUCGGAACCAACCCGAAGAAGCAACACCGGAAAGAAGCAAACAAUCAUGGUGAACAAACAUCACAUAAGCAUGGAACGAUGCGUAAACAAGUAUGAUGCAUGUCCGGUUUAAUGAUAAAUGGCAUGGCAAAAUGCACAAGCAAUACUACAAAUUAAGUGGAGCUCAAUAUGCAACUCUGUUGCAUAUUGACGAAACACCACGUGACUUAUUAAGUUCGAUCUUGUUUAUGUACCCAACAAUAUUAAAUGUUGUUAAACAUGGGAAGAGGGUGAAGCAAAGAAAACUACCUAUCUAGUCAAGUUUAAAUGAGGCCGGAAACAACGAACAACAAUUUCCGAAAACUCCUCAUAUGCAUAUAUUAGGUUUGGUACUGUUCUGUCCUAAACCAUAUUUUAUAGUUGUUAAACAUGCCAAGUAAAGCCACCAUGUUAAACUAGGCAUUUUCCCACCCCAUUUACAUAUAAAGUUUAUUAAAUUUGGAGUUACGGUUAUUUAGUUAUGAAUUAAAGCAUUUUAACAUGGCAUAGGAGCAAAUUUAAUCAAACACCAUUUUAAACAUUUCAAACAUGGAUGAAAGUUGCACAAUAUGAAUCUACACAAAAUUCUAAGCAUGUUUCAUAUAUAGAGUUUUUACAUAUGAUGCAUUAUUUAUAAGUUUUAUAUGCAUGAAGACUAGGGGUUUUUCUGUAAAACCGUAAACUCUGGAUAAUUACUAAAAUCACUGGACAGGAAAAAAAACAUAGCGGGCCGGAUCUGGCUGGCCCAACCGAAACAGACGUUGGGGAAGGCUGCUCACCCAUGGGCCCCUUGGGCCGGCAGGAAAAAUAGAGGAGGCAUGGCGUUGGGCCUGAAGGCGAUGCAAAGGGCCCAUAUGCACUACCGCUCGUCCUCCCCGCUCGAGCGGGCGCAGAAAACAGAGGAGGCGGCGCACGGCAUGGCAGCGUUCAUCGACGGGUCCCCGGGGCGCGGACCAGCAAGGAGAUGACUGGAAGAGGUAGAUCCGAGCACGGGACGACAAGGGCAACCGGAUCCGGGGUGGAGAUGGCCGGCGGUGUCGACCUGCGAAGGGCACAUAGAGAGAGGCCAUGAGAGAGCAGAGAGAUGGAGAGGGAGUGACGAAGAGAGAGGAGGGCAGGGAAGGCGGCCCGGUUCUGGUGGUGCUCCGACGGCUCUGCUGGCCGGCGGCGAGGGCUCAUCUGCUGGUGGAGGCGCGGCUGCGGGGUGGAGGAGGUGCUGGGCAUGAGCGAGGCCGGCGAGGCGGCGGCAGGAGAGCUCCUUGGACGCCAUGGCUGGGCGCUACAGUCACCGACGCGGACGGCAGACGCACGGCGGCGCAGCAGGGGCACGGCGGGAACGGCGCGGGAAUGGAGGCAGCGACAGGGAUCUCCGGUGGCGGAGCUCGACGCGUAGGCCGGCGGUGACUUCCAUGACGCCGGUGUGCUCCUGUGAAGAGAGCAAAGAGAGAUGAGGUGAGGGGAGAACCAGAGAGGGAAAAAAGUAUGAAGGGUGAGAGAGGAACAAGGAGGGUCCAUGGCAAGCAAUUCCUGCUGGUGCUCGGCGUCGAGGUUCGCUGGGGCAGAGAAGGAGCUCCUCUCCUUUGGACUUGAGCGAAGCAAGGAGGAAGAGGCAUCGAGAGGGAGAAGAGCUCGGGUGCGGGGCUGCGUGGAUGGAUUGGAUCUGGGUGCGGCUGAUGGUUGGUGCAGGGGGGAAUGAGAGGAUCCCAAGGUGGGGAAUGAGUGCGGCGGCGGCGGCGGCUGGGAGGAUCCCUAGGAAUUAGGGAUCUGGUCUAGGUUAGGCUAGUAUAUAUAGCAAGUGGGUUGACUUAGGGGUAUAUCGUCCCUCCGAUCGCAAUCGAACGAUCGCGAAUAAAAUAGCUAGGAAGUCCAAAUAAGAAAACGGAGACGUUUUGUAGAUGUUUGGGGAUGAUCCGGACACAACGGUGAUGACUGCUCGGGUCGGAUCCAGGACAACUUUCGGACGCGUGCGAGGGGGGUUGCGGGCUGACGAGAGAGGUUAGGUUGGACCUGGCGGUAGGUAGUGAGCUGUGUAGACGGUCUCGAGCUGAGAGAAGAGAAGAGAGGGAGGCCCGGCGACUGUUUCCGUAGACCGAAAACGUCCGACGUUAGACCGGCUACUAUUGCCGCUAUAUUUAACGGUUGGACUAUCAAACGAACUCCGAAUGCGAUGAAACUUGACAGGCGGUCUAUCUACACUAAAAUAAGACCACACGCCAACUUUCAACCCAUUCCGAGAACAUUUUCCGGCCACUUAUAAAAUACUAUUUCGGACAUGCCGCGGGCGCGUGCAAGUGUGUCUGGGCUCAAAACGGACAACAGACGGAACUGGGGGAACCCGGACGGAUGCAUGUUUUGAAAACAUGAUGAUGCAAUGCACAUGAUGACAAGAUGAAAUGCAACACGCAAGCAAAUGACAUGGCAAUGACAACGAAUAACUGGAAGACACCUGGCACAUCGGUCUCGGGGCGUUACAACGCUCCACCACUACGAGAGGAUCUCGUCCCGAGAUCUAGAAUGACACCGGAGGGAAAACAGAAGAGAAAGAGAAGAGGUAAAACUAAGUUGCUUCUUGACAAACGAGUGAAACCAAAGAACCUUGAGAGGUAUAACAACUAUGAGAAAAGAAUACAACAGAGAUGAACAAAGUUGAAAACACUCCGUUAGAAAACUUGAACAAGGAAGAACAACUCCGGGCAGCACUCCGGUUGAAAAAUGAAAAGAAACUUUAUAAGAUGAAAAGAACUUGAGUAGCGGGCACACUUCGGUAGAAACGAGAUGUAUAAGGAACAAUAAGGAUCAAUUACGAUAACACUCCGGUUAAAAGGAUAAGCAUGAAAAGAACAGGAUCCUGACAAGAACAAGAAGAAAGAUUGAAGAGAGCAACAACACAAUUCCUCCGGAAGAAAGAAAUAGAAGAUAGAUCAUUGAGAUAAAAGAAUGUAGAAGAAAAUGCCAACUUAUGCUACAAAAGAGAUUGAAAAGGUAUCCUUAGGAGAAGGGUCGAACGGAGUUGUUGGAAAACCAACAACGAAAAGAACAACGUUGUAGUGGACUUAUAGAAAACAUCUCAAAGCUAUGAGGUGAAAUUCUGCCACUAACGAAAAAUAAUAGAUUGGAUUGAUAUCAACAAGGAGACGAGAAACUUAUUUCACCGGGAGGAUAAAUGAAGAACUUGGAUCAUUUAUAAGCACCAUAAUUAGCAAAAUCCUUAGGGAAAGCUUUAGGUGAAAUAUAACCCAAGAUAACUCCAAAGAAGAGGUUGAUUGGUUGGAAAGAUGACUUGAGCAAAGAGAAAAUGAUGGAUUUAAAUACCUCACUCUUGAAAACAUGUGAAUCAUGAAACACGAAGGGAAAUUUGUCAAGAGUGACAUAACACCACCUCAAAAUAUAAGAAAGAAAGAAUCACACCUCGGAAUGCAAGAUGAAGAAUGCUUGAGCUCCUCUGAAAAGAAUGUUGAUGACCCUUCGAGAAGGAAUUAAAUCCUUGAUGAACCAUCAUGUAGACCUCCAUGAAGAACUCCGGUAAGCAAAGGGAUGAUCAAACGAAAGGAUAGAGAAGUUGGAAACACAAGGUGAAUCCUUGUAAUGAUUAGAUAGAUCUUUGGAAUGAUAUAAUUGAAAUAACUUUGAGCUCCGGAAAGAAAGAUUAAACAAGUGAAACCGAGAGUUUUUGAUGAGGCUCCGGAAUAAGGAAUUGAAUUUACUCGAUGAAACAAGAAUACGAAUUACAUUAUGCUUAUCCUUCAUCAAUUAAAUUGAUGACAAUCAACGGAUUUGACAUAUUACUUAUUCUCGUGGAAAAUAUUAAGAGAGAUAUAACAUAAACUUGAGAACGUCUUCAACAAAUUACCGGUAGGAUUGAGAAGAACGAAUGAAUAUAUACGAUAACGAAUGACGAGAACUCUUGCACGAACCACCGUUAGAAUUAAAAUAAACGAAGUAAGGGAUGAAUCGCCGGGUAAGAAUUGAAAAUGAACGAAGAAAAGAUAAAGAAACACCGGGAAGAAUUAGCAAGUGAACAAAAAUGUUUGAGUGAAUUUAUAUAUGAGAGAACGAAGAGAUCAUGCACUGAUUAGAGGAUAUUUGAUCGAUGCACCGGUAAAAUUAGGAGGAUGAGAGCUGAAAGCUGAGAAUGAAUAACUCUGAGAUGAUGGGCUCCGGAUAAUCAAACUGAGAAGACUCUUGAAUUGCUCCGGAUAGGUGAAAAGAAUUCCCACAAUCGAAAAUAAUUAUGAGAGGAUGGCAACAAGCUAGAAUCACGAAUCUCAGAGAGAACGGAUAUAUAUGGAGGAAAAGUCUUCUUCGUUCUUCAAAACCUGAGAAUGACGAUGAGAAACACCACCAUAAAUUGUUGAUGCAAUCCGGAAUAAAGAAGAAUAGAAAAGUUGAACCAAUGAUGAAAAGAAAUGAAAGAUCUUGGAGAAAGAUAUUUCACUGAUGAUAGAUCAUUCUUACAUCAAACUUAAAAAAAAGAUUUGAUAAUCGCUCCGGGAAAAUAAGAAGAGUUAGGUAAGAUCCUGGGAAAAGACCUAUGGGUUAGGGCCCACUCAAAAGGAAACACCGUUGAACAAUUUAAAAGAGAGGUUGCACCGGUUGAAUUAAAUGACUUGAAUGAAAUAACAUCCUCGAAAUAGGUUGAACUGAUCUUGAACGAAAAGAUGAGCCUUCUGAGAUAUUUUGAGCACUCUGGGACAAUAGAAUAGCGAGAGGUGAACGAUUAAGAAUUGCACCGGCAUGAGAAAACAUUGAAACGAGGAAAGGAUAUGAUCAACAAAGCUUGACUUGGAACCACCGGAGAUGAAAAGAAUGAAGAAUGACGAACUUGAAGCUCCAUUAGAAUCUUCAUGAGAAACACCGGGUAAGAACAUUGAAAGGAAAGAAAGAAGAGACUUCACAUCAAUAAAAUGAUACUUGAUUAAGACAUCCGAGUCCUCGAAGAAAAGAGGGUGGGAGGGUGGGAAAACAAAAACAACUUGGAGACGAAUGAAACAAACACCGUUGACCAAAAAUUUGAGUUGACCUUGUGGAUGUUGAAAAUGAUCAGAUCCACGUGAAGAGAAACACACCGGUGAAAAGGAGUGAUAUGACAAUCUUGAUUAUCGAGAAGGAUUAGUAUUCACAUCGGAGUAUGAGAACACCACUUAGAAAAGGUAUGGAAUCAACACUUGACAUUGAAGCAACUCGAAUACCACAACUCAAAACAAAAACAAAGGGUUGGCUUGCAGAAUAAGCCGGAACAAACAUAUGAUAGAGAUUUCAUCCGAAGUUUUCGUGGUGGGGCCUACAUGGGCUCGAUCGUACAACACCAUCAUGUACAAGGCAGUGCACAUGACAUACGAAGCGUCCCCGAGUCGGCAUAGCCAAGGACUCUUUAAGACACAACGAGACCACUAUAAAACCAACUGUGAAUAGGCGGACCACUAGACGUCGAACCCCAAUUUCGUAUCAUACAUCUGUCGGAAAGAAAUCCUAAGAGCUACUUGAAUUCCCACUUAUAAACUCCGGAAAUUUUCCGGUUAUGCAAUCAGGUGUUGGGGAUACAGGGGAAGCAUAUUAUCUCACCCAAAACUAGCAAAUCCUACAUCCAGCUGUAUCCAUCCUUCAACACAUAACCAAGAAACCUUCGGAAAUCUCUACCUCAACCUUCGAAAAGCAUCCGUUAUACAAGUUAUGGCAAUACUCCCGAACUCCUGCCCCAGUACUGGGUGGCGUCGAGGUUAUCUCACCAACGAACUGCAUAAAAGAGAUUUUCGAUGUCGGUGUACUAAACUCAGGUAUUCCAGAACUGCAACGAUAAGAUUGUGACGACAACACCUCGGAGCUCAACUCCCCGGGACACUGCCACAAAACCCCUAACAGGAGGCACCAAGACAAUGUUCUCAUCACAAAACCAUCGGAACGAUUCCAAGAUACCCGCGUGAUCCUAAAUUUUUUUUAGUGAAAUUUGAGAAGAGAAGAGUCAAAACUCUACGUCAGGAAGCCUCACCAGAGCGAUGAAGGGACUGAGGAGUAAAAGGAAUUCCUAGCUCUCCGAUAUAUAUAAUCCUAAAUGACUCAAAACAUUUUUCUAGACUCAACAACGGCUGCUAAAAACGAUCAAGCAGUGGGGGCUCCUAAGGUCGGGGGAAGGCUCUGAUUACCAACUUGUAACGCCCUCGAUGCGGCUAUAUCUCCCACGUGUCGAAGCACGUCUUAGAGGCAUAACCGCAUUGAAAGCAAUGUUGCAAGUGAGGUAAUCUUCACACAACCCAUGUAAUACAUAAGGGAAAGAGAUACAUAGUUGGCUUACAAUCGCCACUUCACCCAAUUACAUGAAUAAAGCAUUACAUCAAACAAUACAAUCAAGGUCCGACUACAGAACCAAAAUAAAAGAAGACUACCCCAAAUGCUACACAGAUCCCCGAUCGACCCCAACUGGGCUCCUCUACUGAUCAACUGGAAACAGAACAACAUAAAGGACAAGAUCAUCAUCGAGCUCCUCCUUGAGCUUGGUUGCGUCAUCUGCACGGUUCAACGGCACCUGCAAACUGGUUUUGGAAGUAUCUGUGAGUCACGGGGACUCAGCAAUGUCACACCCUCGCGAUCAAGACUAUUUAAGCUUAUGGGUAAGGUAAAAGGUAUGAGGUGGAGCUGCAGCAAGCGACUAGCAUAUAUGGUGGCUACACAUACGCAAAUAAGAGCGAGAAGAGAAGGCAAAGCACGAUCGAGAAACUAUGAUCAAGAAGUGAUCCUAGAACAACCUACGCCAAACAUUACUCCAACACCGUGUUCACUUCCCGGACUCCGCCGGAAAGAGACCAUCACGGUUACACACGCGGUUGAUGCAUUUUUAAAUAAGGUCAAAUUCAGGUUUUCUACAACCGGACGUUAACAAAUUCCCAUCUGCCCAUAACCGCGGGCAUGGCUUUCGAAAGUUCAAAUCCCUGCAGGGGUGUCCCAACUUAGCCCAUCACAAGCUCUCACGGUCAACAAAGGAAUAGACCUCCUCCCGAGACAUUCCGAUCAGACUCGGUAUCCCGAUUCUACAAGACAUCCUCGACAAUGGUAAAACAAGUCCAGCAACACCGCCCGAAUGUGCCGACAAAUCCCGAUAGGAGCUGCACAUAUCUCGUUCUCAGGGCACACUCAGAUGAGCAGUCCGUACAACUAAAACCAGCCCUCGAGUUUCUCCGAGGUGGUGCUGCAAGGGGCUCUAGUUUGGACCAACACUCAGAGGAGCACUGGCCCGGGGGGGUUAAAAUAAUGAUGACCCUCAGGAGCGCGACUCCCAAGGGAAAAAGAGGCUAGGUGGCAAAUGGUAAAACCAAUGUUGGGCAUUGCUGGAGGAGUUUUAUUCAAAGCGAACUGUCAAGGGGUUCCCAUUAUAACCCAACCGCGUGAGGAACGCAAAAUCCGGGAACAUAACACCGAUAUGACAGAAACUAGGGCGGCAAGAGUGGAACAAAACACCAGACAUAAGGUCGAGCCUUCCACCCUUUACCAAGUAUAUAGAUGCAUUAAAUUCAAUAAGAUAUAUUGUGAUAUCCCAACAUAUAAGCAUGUUCCAACAAGGAACAACAUCUCCAUGUUCCAACAAGGAACAAACUUCAAUCUUCACCUGCAACUAACAAUGCUAUAAGAGGGGCUGAGCGAAGCGGUGACAUAGCCAAUCAACGGUUUGCUAGGACAAGGUGGGUUAGAGGCUUGGUUCAACAAUAUGGGUGGCAUGAUAAGCAAGUGGUAGGUAUCGCAGCAUAGGCAUAGCAAAAGAGCGAGCAACUAAGCAAGCAAAGAUAGAAGUGAUUUCGAGGGUGUGAUCAUCUUGCCUGAGAUCCCGCAAGGAAGAAGAACGAGUCCAUGAAGAAGACAAACGGACGUAGUCGAAUGAAUCCUCACAACACGACGUUAUCGGAACCAACCCGAAGAAGCAACACCGGAAAGAAACAAACAAUCAUGGUGAACAAACAUCACAUAAGCAUGGCACGAUGCGCAAACAAGUAUGAUGCAUGUCCUGUUUAAUGAUAAAUGGCAUGGCAAAAUGCACAAGCAAUACUAUAAAUUAAGUGGAGCUCAAUAUGCAACUCCGUUGCAUAUUGACGAAACACCACGUGACUUAUUAAGUUCGAUCUUGUUUAUGUACCCAACAAUAUUAAAUGUUGUUAAACAUGGCAAGUGGGUGAAGCAAAGAAAACUACCUAUCUAGUCAAGUUUAAAUGAGGCCGGAAACAACGAACAACAAUUUCCGGAAACUCCUCAUAUGCAUAUAUUAGGUUUGGUACUUUUCUGCCCUAAACCAUAUUUUAUAGUUGUUAAACAUGCAAAGUAAAGCCACCAUGUUAAACUAGGCAUUUUCCCACCCCAUUUACAUAUAAAGUUUAUUAAAUUCAAAGUUACGGUUAUUUAGUUAUGAAUUAAAGCAUUUUAACAUGGCAUAGGAGCAAAUUUAAUCAAACACCAUUUUAAACAUUUCAAACAUGGAUGAAAGUUGCACAAUAUGAAUCUACACAAAAUUCUAAGCAUGUUUCAUAUAUAGAGUUUUUACAUAUGAUGCAUUAUUUAUAAGUUUUAUAUGCAUGAAGACUAGGGUUUUUUUUGUAAAACCGUAAACUCUGGAUAAUUACUAAAAUCACUCGACAGGAAAAAAACAUAGCGGGCGGAUCUGGCUGGCCCAACCGAAACAGGCGCUGGGGAAGGCUGCUCACCCAUGGGCCCCUUGGGCCGGCAGGAAAAAUAGAGGAGGC
rnacentral:lncRNA from 1 species